GACACAGUUUCGGAUAUGUAGAGGAAGCGACCCUCGUGACUGACCACGAACACGAACCCAUCCAGCGACUGGAGGAAAGGACACGGAGACGCCCAUUAAAAUCAACAAAUCACCCUAAUUAACAUCUCACCGUCAGCGCGUGUUUAGCGAAUCACUUAUAUGACGGCGGAUAUCAAAAUGGAAACGCCCAAAGGACGACAAAUAGCGCCGGCAGUGCGAGUAGCCAACCACCACGGAACCAGGCCGUACCCAACCCGGGUCACGAAGGGACACUAAUUACAGCACGGUUCCAGCUUGCAUCGAUUUUCCAC